AGCAGCCGCGGUAAUUCCAGCUCCAAUAGCGUAUAUUAAAGUUGUUGCAGUUAAAAAGCUCGUAGUUGAAUUUCGGGAUCAAUAUAUCGGUCGUGCCUUCGGUACGUACUGGUAUCAUUGGUUUCUCCUUUCUGACGAACCAUGAUGUCAUUAAUUUGGUGUUAUGGGGAGUUAGGACUGUUACUUUGAAAAAAUUAGAGUGUUUAAAGCAGGCUUUAGCUUGAAUACAUUAGCAUGGAAUAAUGAAAUAGGACGUUCGAACCUAUUUUGUUGGUUUCUAGGAUCAACGUAAUGAUUAAUAGGGAUAGUUGGGGGGCAUUAGUAUUCAAUUGUCAGAGGUGAAAUUCUUGGAUUUAUUGAAGACUAACUACUGCGAAAGCAUUUGCCAAGGAUGUUUUCAUUAAUCAAGAACGAAAGUUAGGGGAUCGAAGACGAUCAGAUACCGUCGUAGUCUUAACCAUAAACUAUGCCGACUAGGGAUCGGAUGAUGUUAAUUUUUUAAUGACUCAUUCGGCGCCUU
rnacentral:rRNA from 1 species